GACGAACGCUGGCGGCGUGCUUAACACAUGCAAGUCGAACGCUGAGGCUCAGCUUUUGUUGGGUGGAUGAGUGGCGAACGGGUGAGUAACACGUGAGUAACCUGCCUCCUUCUUUGGGAUAACGCCCGGAAACGGGUGCUAAUACUGGAUAUUCACUGGUCUUCGCAUGGGGGUUGGUGGAAAGGGUUUUUCUGGUGGGGGAUGGGCUCGCGGCCUAUCAGCUUGUUGGUGGGGUGAUGGCCUACCAAGGCUUUGACGGGUAGCCGGCCUGAGAGGGUGACCGGUCACAUUGGGACUGAGAUACGGCCCAGACUCCUACGGGAGGCAGCAGUGGGGAAUAUUGCACAAUGGGCGCAAGCAUGAUGCAGCGACGCCGCGUGAGGGAUGGAGGCCUUCGGGUUGUGAACCUCUUUCGCUCAUGGUCAAGCCGCAACAAUGGUUGUGGUGAGGGUAGUGGGUAAAGAAGCGCCGGCUAACUACGUG
rnacentral:rRNA from 1 species